UUAGUUUGAACAAAAUGGCUGCAAGAACGCUGUCAACGAGAGCUCACUGAAUGUAUUAUGACUGUCCACUCCUACAUUUGGAUUUUUCGAGAAUGUAUUUUCUUGGAUUCGUUUUUCAAUUUGCAUUCGUGGUAGCAAGGUCGUCGGUCAGAUGUUGUUGCUAACCUGCUAGCUCAUCAGCUAGCGGCCUAAACACAAAUUAUUUCAUUUUGCACUUUAACACAAGUUGGCUAGCUAGCUAGUAAUUAUCUUCGACAAUUUACUGAAAACAUUUGCAAAUUUCUAAUUGCAACAGUCGAUGACUAAUGCCAACUAGCUAACGUUAACAACUCAGCUACUUUUUGAGUCGAAUUGUUUCUCAUGCUUUUUCGUUUUUUGCUGCUUUUUUUCCGAUAUUUUUUUUAUGUCGUGAUACUUCGACGUUUAGCAUUGUUUUUUGAUGUUGCGAAAAUUGUAAUUUUAGUGCAUCGUUGCCCUAAAAUACAAAGUUCUUGCGGUCUGUUUUUCAAAUAUCGAUCUCGGUAUUUUGUGUUAUGAAGCUGCUUAAACAGUUAUUCGGUCAGUAAGCCGCUGCCGCACGAGAGCUGAACUUGGCUAAUGCUAGCUAGCCGGAUAACUGGGAAGACUGAAUUCCUGAUUUGUUAUUUACGGGUACUUUUCGGAAUAGGCGCAGGAGAAUGCUUUUUCUGCAUCAUUCUCUGCCGUGCACCAACUCUGUAUUGAAAGCUGCCAAAGCUCAACGUGUGAUUACGCAAGCUGAGAGAAGCUAACAACACGAGAAAGAGAACCAUUUGAUGGAAGAAAAUAAAAAUAAAAAGCAAGAAAAGACCAAGAAGGAAGCUGCUCAGAAACAGGCUGCUGAGGAGAGAAACCAAAGGUGAGUGGAAUGACUAACUUCCGCUCCUAGCCGCAUAGCUUUUUAAAAAGACAUGCAAAUGAUUGACACACACACGGCCCUUAUCACCUCUGAUUUAAGGGAGUUCAUAUGAGCCGUAAAGGCGUAGACAUGCAGAUAAGGGCUGUAUAGGAGCAGGUCCCUGUAGCCUACAGCUAACACAUCGAGUCAGUCCAGCGUCGUCUAACUAACACACACUGACUCCUCCUCUGAGCUCAGCAGUGCUGGCCAAUGAA